rnacentral:lncRNA from 1 species
CCUUUUCUUUUGACAUAUAUUUUUGGUUAUCUUGGACGAACCCACUCCCAUCUGAAUAGAUCGAUUUCAGAUACUCGUAAUAAGGGGUUCAGAAAAAAUAGUUGCUUAGAAUGCUCCAGUCAGAUCUGAGAAAGACCAAUGUUUUGUUUCUAUGUUUCAAUAAAUUACAGGUCCUAUUUUGAGCAAAGCAGAUUCAGAAAAUAACUUUCAAUUUUAUCAAGACUUUGAUAUAAUUUACCCUCAAAUCAUCAAAUCAAAGAUGAAGGAUUUAUUUAUGUUGCAGGAUAUGUGGGUAAAUCGUUACAUCAAAAAUUCCCCACUCUGGGGUGUAAUACUUCCAGCAUUCAUGUUCCUCCAAGUCCAUGGCUUAAAACAUUGUCUAGAGGGGGACUCCUUCAACCAUCGGAAUCUUUUUUGGAAUUUUGCAUAAAAAUAGAGAAGCAUUUCAUUAAGUCACAUGGGAAUUUUUUUGAUACCGAACCAUAUGUGAUGGAUCUACUCAUCAGCAUAAUUGUGGAAAAGUAUCCUAAGGAAGAAUAUGAAGCUAUAAAAAAAUUUAUUCGCACUCGUACAUUCAUUAGACUAAACUAAAUUAAUAUUGUAAACAAAAGUAGCAUAAAAAGAAAAAUAACAAGUAACGUGCGAAAAACUGAUCAUUUAAUUAGUUAAAAAUAGA